rnacentral:rRNA from 1 species
GUAGGUGGCAAGCGUUGUCCGGAAUUAUUGGGCGUAAAGCGCGCGCAGGCGGUCUUUUAAGUCUGAUGUGAAAGCCCCCGGCUCAACCGGGGAGGGUCAUUGGAAACUGGAGGACUUGAGUGCAGAAGAGAAGAGCGGAAUUCCACGUGUAGCGGUGAAAUGCGUAGAGAUGUGGAGGAACACCAGUGGCGAAGGCGGCUCUUUGGUCUGUAACCGACGCUGAGGGCGCGAAGGCGUGGGGAGCAAACAGGAUUAGAUACCCUGGUAGUCCACGCCGUAAACGAUGAGUGCUAAGUGUUAGAGGGUUUCCGCCCUUUAGUGCUGCAGCUAACGCAUUAAGCACUCCGCCUGGGGAGUACGGCCGCAAGGCUG